rfam:West Nile virus strain 804994, complete genome
CCACCGUCAGACCACACCGAGGUGUGCCACUCAGCGGAGAGUGCGGUUUGCGCAGCCCAGGAGGACUGGGU